GUCACGUGUUGUUUAUUUUGAGCAUGCAAUCAGUCAAGGUUAAAGUUCAAUGCACGCGCGAAUCAGUGUAGUGACGAGGAUCCGUUUCGCAAUCAAAUUUCGCCUUGGAGAUCACAGUUAUACUUGAACGUUUUUUUUUUGUAAGUGUCUACUUUACCUCUUUAGAUAUUGUUUUUGUGACUUUGUUUUCUUAAAAAUUGUUAAACUUGUCACUUAAAUACUUUAAAUACCUGAGGCCCACCAUUUUUUUCUAGGGUGGGCGCUUGACUUCGUUCAAGUUUUUUUCUGAAGAGAAAAACAUGUCUUCGCCGCCCGGGUAUUCAGCUGUGGGAGAAGGAGGCGCAGUGGGAGUCGGUAUUCGUAACUUUUCCGCUUGUGGAAGGGGAACGACUUUGGCUAAUGUCAUCCCAACGGUCAACCCCAAAACAAAGAAUUUUCCAGAGCAACUGGCCAAGCCUGUUUGCAAUUGUUUCAGGCACCCAACACAAGUGAUUUGCAGGACGUGUGGCUUGAUGUUCCACGGCCGCUCAAGAAUGAUUUGCCCCCAACAUCCACAGGUCAUCCACCUCAUGGACUCAGACAAGUGCCCAAAGUGCCAUAGUAACAGUUUGAAAGAAUUUAUAUCUAACAGCGUACCAAGACCGAGAGAAAGCGCAGAUGGCGCAGAUAGAUGGGACUGAAAGAUUGUUAAAAGUGUGGCUUACUCUAUGCAAUUGAGAAAAUAGAAAUAUAAGAUGGAAGCUGCAAUUUAAAUCCAAUGAAAUUUUUAUUUUCACGUCCAGGAUUUUACUUCUUUUUUUUCCACCCCCCCCCCCCUCCCCCCUUUUUUUUUUUUUGCUGAGGUUCUAUUUGCUAUUUACUAUCCUAUAGUGGUAAACAGGCUCUUAAAUAAUAUUUUCUGUGGUCCAAAAUUAAAAGAUGUCUUUAUCAUUAUUAUUCUAAUUAGAGACCAAAGCUGCUAAACACCAUGGAAACCAUGGUCCCAAAAAUAGUCUUUAUGGGAGGGGAGACCUGUAUUUUAUUUUAUAAAAGGAGUAAAGUAACCUUUGUAAUAUAUUCUGCCAUUUAUUUUCCACCUUUGCCAUUCUUUCUUUCAGAUCUUUAUUUUUAUUUACCAUGGAAAAAUUAUUGUUUUUUUUUAUUAGCGGAUAUUAGAUUUUUUUCAAGAGCCUACAACAUUUUACGAGGGUAGGGACGUGAAACUAUCAAUUAUUUUUUUAUUUGGCCUAACGACUUCCUUUAUUAUACUUAUACACACUUGGGCUUUUAAUCUGCUGGUUGAAGCCUUCUUUAAAUUCUAAAAACUGAUUAGGCCCCAUAAAAAAAUUAUUAGUUUAUCGCCGUAUCAAUGAAUAAAAAGUGAUGAGGGAGAGAGGUUUUUUUUUUUUUCUAACCCCCGCCCCCAUUUUACCGAUGUUCACAGUAAAUUAAUGGUUAGGGACACAUAUAAAAAAUCAUAAGAAUGGAAUCAAAUUUAUAAUUAAAAAUUAUAUGUUUUGUUGUUUUAGUAAACAUAUCUACAAGAAAUUCUGAGCUUUUUAAGUGAAAAAAGACGGAAAAAUGACCGUUUGAAAUAAAAAUAUAUUUUGUUUGAAAAAAAAUAAAAAUCUGAAUUUCCCAAAAAGUGGUGAGGGAGGGGUGAUAAACUAAUAAUAUUUUUUAUGGGGCCUUACUUUGGCCAUGUUGGCAGUGCCAUUUUUGUUCCAGGGUUAAAUUUGUGCUUUCAAUUCAAAUACACAUUCCAAUGUUUUUUAAAUGUCUUUCAUAUUUUCUGGUGGCAUUCUGUUGGAGGUAUGCUAUUUAAUCACUUAUUAAAAAUUUGUUCAUACUAUGAAAUUUUAUGCUACAAAAAACUGUGAUACACCCAUGUUGGUUUAUAAUUAUGACACCAUCAUGACCCAUAAUAUGUGUGCAAUACACACAUUUGUCACAUAGAAAUUUGAUAGUACAGGUAUAGACAUGCCUGUCCUGGUAAUGUAAAACCAACAAACCCACCACAAGAUAACUCUACAGCUCAUGCAACCUAAACAAAACUUUUGUACAUACAAAAUAUAUUAAUAUUCAUGUGGAAUCUCUCUACAGUAUUGUAUACAAAAUUGUACAUUCCAAAUCAUAAAGCAUAAUGUUCUCCUUGAUCAGCAUUGUAGUGAUUUCUGAUGUCCAAUAUUAUUAAAAAAGUUAAAUUGUUGAAAGAAAAUAUUAAAUUUAUCAAUAAUUUACCAUAUAAAAGUAUAGAAAAUGGUAUUAUUUGAUACUGUAGGCUGGAUAAAAUAUAAACUUAAUCAAGUGUCAGUGUUUUUUGCAUCAUAACCAAAAGUUCAGUACAGAAACACAAUACUUAAACGGCCAAAUAAAUAAAAACCGAAAGGUCCACUGAUUCAUCUCGGAUAAGAAAGUAUAAUGCAUACUCCAAGUAUUGAAAUAAGCGAUGGCGUGUAUUUCAAUACUUGGAGUAUGUAUUGUACUUUCAAAUAAAUAAAAUUACUAGAUUCUCGUCCCAGAGAAAGAAAUUAUUUUUUUGUACUUUGCCUGAAUCAAACCUAUUAUUUUUCUGAAGCCCUGUCCAGACUAUAAAAUUAUAUUUUUUAAAAAAAAUCAUGUGACAUGCCUAAAUAUGGUUAUGAUGACAUCACAUUAUGACCAUAUAUAGGAACAUCAUGUCAUUGGCAUACAACAGUUUUUUGUAACAGAAAAUUUGAUAGUGUGGAUAUAAAGUUAUGUUAACCUAAUUAGAAUGAAUGAAUAAGCAGGCCACAUGAUGGAUGAAACAUUUGUUGUUAUAAAGUCCUGUCUGACAAUCAAAUUUAAUUUGACAAAAGCCAUGUGAAAUGACUAAAUAUUGUCAUGAUGACAUCACAUCAUGACUAUAUAUAGGCACAUCUUGACUAUAUACGUGCAUAUUAUAACACUUUUUUGUCAAAAUUUGAUAAACUAGACAGGGCUUAGGUUGUGUAAAUUGUUAUUUAUACCUCCAUUAUACUAUACAACUCAUUUUUGCGUACUGGUUGUUGAUUGUUGUUUAUCAAAGGAGUUUAUCAAACUGUUAUGGUAAAGAAAGAAACCAACUUGUUAUAGGGUGUGUACUAAUUUUAAUAACAACAUUCCUUUGUCAAUGAUUCUAUUUGCUUGUGUAGUGUUAUGUAACAGUGAAUAUUAACUACAGCCUGAGUCACCAAAUGGAAAAAAAAAAAAACGAUUCAUGUUUUUAUUACAUUCAUUUCCAAUAGAAUUUACAUUCAUUGCAAUUAUUUUGCUAUUUUGAUGUCUUGUAAGAAGUCGUUCCCAAUUAUCAACAUUUUUGCAAGUGUACAAACAGUACUUUUUUCAGUACACCCUUUCGUCUCUGGAAGUGUACAUAAAAAAAAUGUUGAUUUGCAAAACUUUUCUCCAUUGUUUUUUGUGUACAAUAGUAAAACUGACCAAGGAGGUAUAUAAAAAAGGACUGACGUACCGUACUGUACUUUAGUUGCAUAAAAAUCGGUCGGGCCUGUUAUAUCCCUGGUUGCAUUACAGAAAUACAUUAUUUUAUAUAUAAUAUUGCAAGUUACUUUGAAUUCAUAUUUAAAAUCAUGCAGAAUUGUCCCCUUCACCCUAGCGUACUGUUUGUGUACUUGUAUGAAUAUUGAUAAUUGUGAACGACCCCUAACUAGCAAUCAAUUAAAUAAAUGUUAUAAUCAUAAUUGUUUUCAUGAAGCUGUUCUCUUAGAAAAUAGUUUGUAGAUUGUCAAUAUCGAGAAAAGUUUUUAGUUUUUUACACAAAGAAAACGUGUUAAAGGUGUACACACCUUCCUUUGAUUGUACAGUAUAGUAUAAUAUGUAUUUUUAUUUUAAAUGUUUGAUUUUAUUUUUUACAGUACAGUAUUUAGUUUUAAGGUUUUAAGUACAUACCGGAUUUUGUAUUCAGAUUAAAGCCCAUUGUUAGAUGAGCGGUAUAAUAAAACUAUCCUUGUUUCAGAUCUAAUCAAACAAAUUGUCUUUACAUUUCUGAUGGACAUCCGAAAGUCCUAUAUUUAACUCUGAUCAAACUUUUUUUUAGCUUUGACCAGACUGUUAAUCUUUAUUAGACAAAAAAACAAGUGAUGCUUAAAUUUUGUCAUGAUGACAUCACAUCAUGACCAUAUAUAGGCACAUCAUGACUAUAUAUGGACAUACAACAGUAUUUGGUCAAAGAAAAUUUGAUAAUCUGGACUGACCCUAGAAUAAGAGAUAGUGAACCUGUACUUUAUAUAAUGCUACUUAAUAAUAAUAUUACACCAAAGCAGUGGGAAAGUUUUUACUGUUGACUUUUUGCCAACACGUUCUAGCUUUAAACUUACAAUAUAGGUUGUUAAAUGUUUGUUUCACAUUUGAAAAACAAAGAUGAUAUUGUAUAAUAAGUUGUAGAAAAAUAUUAAAAAACUAUUUUCUUUGAUGA